ACUCCAUUAACUCAGUUUGGUUAGAGUCACCGCCUUAUAUGCGGCUGGUCCGGGGUUCAAGUCCUCGAUGGAGUACCA
rnacentral:tRNA from 1 species